CGGAUUAAUUCGAUGCAACGCGAAGAACCUUACCAAGGCUUGACAUAUAGAGGAAACCUGCAGAAAUGUAGGCCCCAGCAAUGGUCUCUAUACAGGUGGUGCAUGGUUGUCGUCAGCUCGUGUCGUGAGAUGUUGGGUUAAGUCCCGCAACGAGCGCAACCCUCGUCCUAUGUUGCCAGCACGUAAUGGUGGGAACUCAUGGGAGGCUGCCGGGGUCAACUCGGAGGAAGGUGGGGAUGACGUCAAAUCAUCAUGCCCCUUAUGUCUUGGGCUUCACGCAUGCUACAAUGGCCGAUACAAAGGGCUGCAAUACCGCAAGGUGGAGCGAAUCCCAAAAAGUCGGUCUCAGUUCGGAUUGGGGUCUGCAACUCGACCCCAUGAAGUUGGAGUUGCUAGUAAUCGUAGAUCAGCAACGCUACGGUGAAUACGUUCCCGGGCCUUGUACACACCGCCCGUCAAGUCAC
rnacentral:rRNA from 1 species